GACGUAGGUGGCGAGCGUUGUCCGGAAUUACUGGGCGUAAAGAGCUCGUAGGUGGUUUGGUGUGUUAAGAGUGAAAUUCCUCAGCUCAACUGAGGAACCGCUCUUAAAACUGCCAAACUAGAGGGUAGGAGAGGAAAAUGGAAUUCCUGGUGUAGCGGUGAAAUGCGUAGAUAUCAGGAGGAACACCGGUGGCGAAGGCGAUUUUCUGGCCUACCCCUGACACUGAGGAGCGAAAGCUAGGGGAGCGAACGGG
rnacentral:rRNA from 1 species